rnacentral:lncRNA from 10 species
GAGCAUAGGGGAGUAAAGACAUUUGUGACCUUUUUAUUUGCAACUCACCACAGGGAGAGGAGGAGGAUUUGAGUGAGACAGACCUGUGUCCUGCGAAGGCUCUAUGCCCUGCCAGCGUCUUCUGGGUGGAGCUGGGGAGCAGGGAUGGUAGAAGCCGGGGGAUGAGUUGGGGGAUCCAGAGAGAUGGCUGUCUUUGUAGCAUUUUCUGGAAGACAACAUGGCUCAGGAGUGGCAGACAAGGCGGGGUGGAAGGGAUACAGAACACCAGGGAACGGACACAGUGGGUAUUACUACUGGACCCCAGUGUGGGGUGAACAAGACAGAGAGCUAUCUGGGGACCUAGGCCUGGAGACAAGAGGGCCAGCAGAGAGCCCAGGAGAAACCAGGGAGGGCAAACGAAGAUGCAAAAUGGGACACUCCCAGGUCCCCAGGGGCAGGGGAAGCACAGGCAGGGGUCCAAAACCCGUUUGCACUGCAAGUGCUAGCUGGGUGGGUGACAUUGCUGGGUGGAUGACACUGUCGGGUGGGUGACACUGUCGGGGGGAUGACACCACCAGGUAGAUGACACUGGUGGGUGGGUGACACUGGCGGGGGGAUGACACUGGUGGGUGGGAUGACACUGACAAGCAAGUGACACUGGCAGGUGGGUGGCACUGGGAGGGGGUGACACUGGCAGGAGGAGGAAACUGGUGGGGAGAUGACACUGCUGGAUGGGUGACACUGGUGGGGGAUGACACUGCUGGGUGGGUGACACUGGCUGGGGGUGACACUGCUGAGUGGGUGACACUGGCUGGGGGUGACACUGGUGGGUGGGUGACACUGACAGGAGGGUGAAACUGGUGGGGGAAUGACACUUUUGGGUGGUGACACUGGUGGGGGAUGACACUGGUGGGUGGGUGUCACUGGCAAGGGGAUGACACUGGUGGGGGGAUGAUACUGCUUGAUGGGCGACACCGGUGGGUGGGUGACACUGGCGGGGGGAUGACACUGCCGGGUGAGUGACAUUGGCGGGGGGAUGACACCUCUGGGGGAAUGACACUGCUGGGUGGAUGACACUGCCAGGGGGAUGGAUGCCGCGGGGGGAUGGACACUGCUGGGUGAGGGACUCUCGAUAGCCUAGAGCAGGGCUUGGCCAGGGGCAUCUUUUUUUUUUUUUUUUUUAAACAAUGACAAAUGUUUAGAUAUGCUGCUGGAGAUUUAAACAAUUGAAUAGUCCUAGUGAUCUGUUUCCACAACAGAGGACGUCAUUCUGAGAUGUUUUCUAUCAGAGACAAAGUCAGCUUCUCUGUCUUUUGUGUGAAUCUUUUACUAAUUUGAGGAGACAAACAUUUUAAAUAACACUUUGAUAUGGAAUUCACAUUCCUUAAAAUUUACCUUUUACAAAUAAACAAUUCAGUGGGUUUUUUUUUUGUGGCAGUCACCAAUAUCCAAUCCCAUAACAUGUCACCCGCAAUAAGAAACCACAACCAUGCCCCAUGGCCUAUCCCCAUGCCCUUGCACCCACCAAUCUACUUUCUGUCUGCAGAGAUGCACUAUUCUGGACCUUUCGUAUAGAUGGAAUUUGUCUUGCAGGCGGUGCGGCCCCAUGCCUGGCUUCCUUCACCACCCAUAGGGGUUUCAGGGCUCCCGACGCUG